UUUCAGAUCCCCAUUGAAAAACUA
rnacentral:snRNA from 1 species